GACGAACGCUGGCGGCGUGCCUAAUACAUGCAAGUAGAACGCUGAAGGAGGAGCUUGCUUCUCUGGAUGAGUUGCGAACGGGUGAGUAACGCGUAGGUAACCUGCCGGUAGCGGGGGAUAACUAUUGGAAACGAUAGCUAAUACCGCAUAAGAGUAGAUGUUGCAUGACAUUUGCUUAAAAGGUGCAAUUGCAUCACUACCAGAUGGACCUGCGUUGUAUUAGCUAGUUGGUGGGGUAGCGGCUCACCAAGGCGACGAUACAUAGCCGACCUGAGAGGGUGAUCGGCCACACUGGGACUGAGACACGGCCCAGACUCCUACGGGAGGCAGCAGUAGGGAAUCUUCGGCAAUGGACGGAAGUCUGACCGAGCAACGCCGCGUGAGUGAAGAAGGUUUUCGGAUCGUAAAGCUCUGUUGUAAGAGAAGAAACGAGUGUGAGAAGUGGAAAAGUUUCACAACUGUGACGGUUUCUACCAGAAAAGGACGG
rnacentral:rRNA from 1 species